AGUGAACGCUGGCGGUAGGCCUAACACAUGCAAGUCGAACGGCAGCACAGUAAGAGCUUGCUCUUACGGGUGGCGAGUGGCGGACGGGUGAGGAAUACAUCGGAAUCUACUUUUUCGUGGGGGAUAACGUAGGGAAACUUACGCUAAUACCGCACACGACCUACGGGUGAAAGCAGGGGAUCUUCGGACCUUGCGCGAUUGAAUGAGCCGAUGUCGGAUUAGCUAGUUGGCGGGGUAAAGGCCCACCAAGGCGACGAUCCGUAGCUGGUCUGAGAGGAUGAUCAGCCACACUGGAACUGCGACACGGUCCAGACUCCUACGGGAGGCAGCAGUGGGGAAUAUUGGACAAUGGGCGCAAGCCUGAUCCAGCCAUACCGCGUGGGUGAAGAAGGCCUUCGGGUUGUAAAGCCCUUUUGUUGGGAAAGAAAAGCAGCAGGUUAAUACCCCGCUGUUCUGACGGUACCCAAAGAAUAAGCACCGGCUAACUUCGUG
rnacentral:rRNA from 1 species